rnacentral:rRNA from 1 species
UACGUAGGGUGCGAGCGUUGUCCGGAAUUAUUGGGCGUAAAGGGCUCGUAGGCGGUCUGUUGCGUCAGGAGUGAAAACUCGGGGCUUAACCCCGAGCCUGCAGUGGAUACGGGCAGACUAGAGGUAGGUAGGGGAGAAUGGAAUUCCCGGUGUAGCGGUGAAAUGCGCAGAUAUCGGGAGGAACACCGGUGGCGAAGGCGGUUCUCUGGGCCUUACCUGACGCUGAGGAGCGAAAGCGUGGGGAGCGAACAGG